AUAGGCAGUAGUUUCUAUGGUAACAAGCUGAGUGGAGGGUCCACAAAGAAAGGACUGUGUGUGUUCUGACACGGGGGGAAUUGAAAAUGAAUCCUCAACAUUUGGAGGGCUCCCUGGCCCCAUGUCAACCGCGAGCAGCGCCAUCUCCACAGGAACGCGCCAGCAAGAACAGGGCCAGAGACUUCGCUUUCUUAGGUUAUUCUCCCUACGGGCUCACCUUUUGUCUUUCUUUAAAAGGGCCGACCGUGUUCUGUCUUUCUCACUGCAUGUGGAGAUAGGAGUUCACAAAAGGAGCCGGCAAGCUUGCUUUAAAUCCCACCGGCCAGUCUCUGGGCCACUUAUGGGAAAAAGCAAACAGAAUCAAGAAAAUCAAUUAUUCCUGCAAAGGAAUCUCCUCAUUUAAAAAAAAUCCUUCAAGUAUAUCAAAAUAUUCUUCAAACAAAAUUGAAACAAACUGAUUCUCUCCUUUGAUUUGAGAUCUUGCUGUGAAGCCCUCCGAGGUCCUCAGAAGAUGCUUGGCUGCGUCUGCUACAGUGUGAUGGGCCUCAGUGCACACAAGGGGUGCCCCACCGAUGGGUGUGGGGUCAGCAGCCACACUGUGCUCUAGCUGAGCACCCCCACACUCUGCACAGUGCAGAUCUGUGACCUAAGGAGGAACCCCAGGGUCACCCCUGCCCUCACUGAGCCAGUGACAAGAUGUGGGGACAUGUAAAUAAAUGCUGAUCAUGGAGCUUGAUCCUCACCGAGGAGGAAAUGGUUAAGUCUGCUUAGUCAAGGGAGGCUUUGAAAGAGACACUUGUGCUGAGCCUUGAAUGAUGCAUAGGAGAGGACAUUCCAGCUCAUGGAGCCCUGAUCGCAAAAAACGAGUGUGAAACAGCAUGGCACCAGGAGCCUGCCUGGGAGCAGCAAGUGGCUCAGUAUUACUGGAGAACGGGGCAUUUGCAUGCUUCCUUCAACCUGCCUUUCACCAGGUUUUUCUAGCCUUGCCAGCGUAGAGCAUCCAAAUACACACUCAUACAUGUGCACACACACACACACAUACUUGAUGGCAUGAACCCACUCUAGCUCUGCGUGUCUCAUGAAGUAUCUUUCCAAGGCUUGGAACUCAGACAGAUGCACACGCCCAGGAAGCUGGCUGUGUCUGUCCUUCUCAGUGUCUCACUUGGCACCUCUGUCCUGCCUGUGUCACCAAAAGAUAUAGACCUGGAUCUUUGUCCAGAGAAAUACUAAGGAAUUAUCACAACAAAUGUAGCAGAUAUAUAAUUCUCUGAAUAAUUCUCACUUUUGAUUAAAGAGUGUUUUCUCCUCCACAUUUGUUGUUGUUACAUCAAAUCUAAAUCUGCCUACCUCAGAAGUUCUCAGCUGCCUGAAAGCCAGAGGAACACUAACUCCAUCAUCCUC